rnacentral:rRNA from 1 species
CCUACGGGAGGCAGCAGUGAGGAAUAUUGGUCAAUGGGCGCGAGCCUGAACCAGCCAAGUAGCGUGAAGGAUGACUGCCCUACGGGUUGUAAACUUCUUUUAUAAAGGAAUAAAGUGAGGCACGUGUGCCUUUUUGUGUGUACUUUAUGAAUAAGGAUCGGCUAACUCCGUGCCAGCAGCCGCGGUAAUACGGAGGAUCCGAGCGUUAUCCGGAUUUAUUGGGAUUAAAGGGAGCGUAGACGGGGUGUUAAGUCAGUUGUGAAAGUUUGCGGCUCAACCGUAAAAUUGCAAUUGAUCUUGGCAGCCUUGAGUACAGUUGAGGUAGGCGGAAUUCGUGGUGUAGCGGUGAAAUGCUUAGAUAUCACGAAGAACUCCGAUUGCGAAGGCAGCUUACUAAACUGCCACUGACAUUGAGGCUCGAAAGUGUGGGUAUCGAACAGGAUUAGAUACCCUAGUAGUC